rnacentral:rRNA from 1 species
GCAACAACGGGUAGCUGGUCUGAGAGGAUGGCCAGCCACACUGGAACUGAGACACGGUCCAGACACCUACGGGUGGCAGCAGUCGAGAAUCUUUCACAAUGGGGGAAACCCUGAUGGAGCGACGCCGCGUGGAGGAUACAGUCUUCGGAUUUUAAACUCCUGUCAUGCAAGAGCAAGGCUGUCAAAAAGCUUGAUAGUAUUGCAAGAGGAAGAGGCGGCAAACUCUGUGCCAGCAGCCGCGGUAAUACAGAGGCCUCAAGCGUUGUUCGGAAUCACUGGGCGUAAAGGGUGCGUAGGCGGUUUGAUAAGUCAAUUUGUAAAAUCAUGUGCUCAACGCAUGAAUGCAUUUGAUACUAUUAGACUUGAGAUAGUUUAGGGGGAGACGGGAAUUCACGGUGUAGCAGUGAAAUGCGUAGAUAUCGUGAGGAACACCGAAGGCGUAGGCACGUCU